rnacentral:rRNA from 1 species
GACGAACGCUGGCGGCGUGCCUAACACAUGCAAGUCGAGCGAAUGAAGUUCCUUCGGGAACGGAUUUAGCGGCGGACGGGUGAGUAACACGUGGGCAACUUGCCCCAUAGAGGGGAAUAGCCUUCCGAAAGGAAGAUUAAUACCGCAUAAGAUUGUAGCUUCGCAUGAAGCAGCAAUUAAAGGAGCAAUCCGCUAUGAGAUGGGCCCGCGGCGCAUUAGCUAGUUGGUGAGGUAACGGCUCACCAAGGCGACGAUGCGUAGCCGACCUGAGAGGGUGAUCGGCCACAUUGGGACUGAGACACGGCCCAGACUCCUACGGGAGGCAGCAGUGGGGAAUAUUGCACAAUGGGGGAAACCCUGAUGCAGCAACGCCGCGUGAGUGAUGACGGUCUUCGGAUUGUAAAGCUCUGUCUUCAGGGACGAUAAUGACGGUACCUGAGGAGGAAGCCACGGCUAACUACGUGCCAGCAGCCGCCGUAA